AAAUAUUUAGGAUAAGAUAAAGUCUGUGAGAUUCAUAUUCUUGAGGUAGGGGGUAUUUA
rnacentral:tRNA from 1 species